rnacentral:tRNA from 1 species
AGGUGAGUAGUUCAAUUGGUAGAGCGGCGGUCUCCAAAACCGUUUGUUGUGGGUUCAAGUCCUGCCUCACCUGCCA